CUAGUGAUCAGAAGUGAGAAUGUUGACAUGAGUAGCGACAAACAGGGUGAGAGACCCUGUCGCCGAAAGUCCAAGGGUUCCUGCUUAAAGCUAAUCUGAGCAGGGUAAGCCGGCCCCUAAGGCGAGGCCGAAAGGCGUAGUCGAUGGGAACCAGGUUAAUAUUCCUGGGCCAGGAGAUGGUGACGGAUCGCAGAGCUAGUUCUUCCUUAUCGGAUUGGAAGGGCUGGUGAGUGGUUCCUGGAAAUAGCCCUCCAUGAGACCGUACCCUAAACCGACACAGGUGGACUGGUAGAGAAUACCAAGGCGCUUGAGAGAACCACAUUUAAGGAACUCGGCAAAAUACCUCCGUAAGUCCGCGAGAAGGAGGCCCCGUUGGCAGGCAACUGUUGGCGGGGGGCACAAACCAGGGGGUGGCGACUGUUUACUAAAAACACAGGGCUCUGCGAAGUCGUAAGACGACGUAUAGGGUCUGACGCCUGCCCGGUGCCGGAAGGUUAAAAGGAGAUGUGCAAGCAUUGAAUUGAAGCCCCGGUAAACGGCGGCCGUAACGAUAACGGUCCUAAGGUAGCGAAAUUCCUUGUCGGGUAAGUUCCGACCUGCACGAAUGGCGUAACGACUUCCCCGCUGUCUCAAAUGUGGACUCAGCGAAAUUGAAUUGUCUGUGAAGAUGCAGACUUCCCGCGGUUAGACGGAAAGACCCCAUGCACCUUUACUAUAGCUUCGCACUGGCAUCAGGAUUGUGAUGUGCAGGAUAGGCGGUAGGCUUUGAAGCGGGAACGCUAGUUCCCGUGGAGCCAUCCUUGAGAUACCGCCCUUCGCACUCUUGAUGUCUAACCGCGGCCCGUUAUCCGGGUCCGGGACCCUGCGUGGUGGGUAGUUUGACUGGGGCGGUCGCCUCCCAAACAGUAACGGAGGCGCGCGAAGGUUGGCUCAGACCGGUCGGAAAUCGGUCGUUGAGUGCAAUGGCAGAAGCCAGCCUGACUGCAAGACUGACAAGUCGAGCAGAGACGAAAGUCGGUCAUAGUGAUCCGGUGGUCCCGAGUGGAAGGGCCAUCGCUCAACGGAUAAAAGGUACGCUGGGGAUAACAGGCUGAUGAUGCCCAAGAGUCCAUAUCGACGGCAUCGUUUGGCACCUCGAUGUCGGCUCAUCUCAUCCUGGGGCUGGAGCAGGUCCCAAGGGUAUGCUGUUCGCCAUUUAAAGAGGUACGUGAGCUGGGUUUAGAACGUCGUGAGACAGUUCGGUCCCUAUCUGCCGUGGGUGUAGGAUACUUGAGAGGAGUUGCCCCUAGUACGAGAGGACCGGGGUGAACGUUCCACUGGUGGACCAGUUGUCGUGCCAACGGCAGUGCUGGGUAGCUAUGAACGGACAGGAUAAACGCUGAAGGCAUCUAAGCGUGAAGCCCCCCUCAAAACCAGGUAUCCCUUGAGAGCCGUGGAGGACCACCACGUCGAUAGGCCGGAGAUGUAAGCGCAGCAAUGCGUUCAGUUGACCGGUACUAAUGGCUC
rnacentral:rRNA from 1 species